rnacentral:rRNA from 1 species
UACGGAGGGUGCGAGCGUUGUCCGGAAUCACUGGGCGUAAAGGGCGCGUAGGUGGCGCGGGAAGUCAACGGUGAAAGUUCAGGGCUCAACCCUGAAUCGGCCGUCGAUACUCCCGGGCUUGAGCACUGUAGAGGCAGAUGGAAUUCCGGGUGUAGCGGUGGAAUGCGUAGAGAUCCGGAAGAACACCGGUGGCGAAGGCGGCUUCCUGGACCGACACUGACGCUGAGGCGCGAAAGCUAGGGGAGCAAACGGG